CCUACGGGGGGCAGCAGUGGGGAAUAUUGGACAAUGGGGGGAACCCUGAUCCAGCCAUGCCGCGUGUGUGAAGAAGGCCCUCGGGUUGUAAAGCACUUUCAGUGAGGAAGAACGCCUGGUGGUUAAUACCCAUCAGGAAAGACAUCACUCACAGAAGAAGCACCGGCUAACUCCGUGCCAGCAGCCGCGGUAAUACGGAGGGUGCGAGCGUUAAUCGGAAUUACUGGGCGUAAAGCGCGCGUAGGUGGCUUGAUAAGCCGGUUGUGAAAGCCCCGGGCUCAACCUGGGAACGGCAUCCGGAAAUGUACAGCUAGGGGGCAAGAGGGGAAGGUAGAAUCCCCGGGGAGGCGGGGAAAUGCGGUGAGACCGGGAGGAAUACCAGUGGGGAAGGCGGCCUUCGGGACUGACACUGACACGGAGGUGCGAAAGCUUGGGUAGCAAACAGGAUUGGAUACCCGAGUAGUC
rnacentral:rRNA from 1 species